rnacentral:pre_miRNA from 1 species
CACUCACUCAACCUGGGUGUGAUGCUUUAUUGAACCAUCACAACCUCCUUGAGUGAGCGA